rnacentral:misc_RNA from 1 species
CUGCCGUGCGCCCGUUCUGCUGUUUGAUACAUAACAUAAUACAGUUUCUAUUAUUAUUAUUAUUAUUAUUAUUAUUCUUUCUUCUGUGUCCCUUAGUUCCUUUAUUUUAAUAUUUUCCAUUCGCUGGAAUACGGGUAACCCGCACAAAAUACUUAACGCUUAGCACUCAACAAAUCCUGUUCCCUCAAAAGUGUAAAAUUUUUUUAAUCAACAUCACUUUUGGGUGACGAAAUCAAUUUUAAUGUCAGAACUACAGUCGGCGCUAUUAUUAAAAAAACAACUGACUGAAUUGCACAAGAACCCAGUAGAAGGGUUCUCUGCUGGUCUCAUAGACGAUAAUGAUAUUUACAAAUGGGAAGUGCUCAUUAUUGGACCUCCAGACACCUUGUAUGAAGGAGGAUUUUUCAAGGCUCAUGUUAAUUUUCCUAAAGAGUAUCCAUUGAGGCCACCAAAAAUGAAAUUUGUUACUGAAAUUUGGCACCCUAAUAUUGAUAAAAGUGGUGACGUUUGUAUAUCAAUACUUCAUGAACCUGGUGAUGAUAAGUGGGGUUAUGAAAAAGCAAGUGAACGUUGGUUACCAGUGCAUACUGUUGAGACUAUAUUGAUAUCAGUUAUUUCAAUGUUGGCUGAUCCUAAUGAUGAAAGUCCAGCUAAUGUAGAUGCAGCUAAAGAUUGGCGUGACAAUUAUCCAGAAUUCAAACGCAAGGUUGCACGUUGUGUGCGUAAGAGUCAAGAAGAUAUCUAAUAACAAAUUUGCCAGUUGCUCUACUCACAUGUUACCAACGUAUAAAUCAAUUAUUGAUGCCAGGGUAGCAAAUGUAGAACAACCAACAACAUUUUAUAUAAUGUGAUUUUUAAAUGUAAGUUUUUUUUUUAAAACAUCUAAUAAAAUAAGAUGUUCCAUAUUUUAAAUAUUUGUAUCUUAAAAAUAUCCUAUGAACCUUACUUAGUACAAUAAAAUAUUUUAUAAGGUUAUCUAUUAACUUGAACAAAUAUAUAAUACUUUACAGAA